ACGAAGGAGCCGUAUACGUUAAAGUCACUAGAAUAUAGUGAUUUUUAUACGUGUGUCAUUGCCGAGCGCCCAAAUCUGGUAACAGAAUAGUACUCUCGACAUAUGUUGAAAUAUCGUAGCUGUGAGCACGUGCUCUCGUACAUUCGAUUCCGUUCUGUCAGAUUGAUUGAUUGCGAAAGAGAUAGAAAAGUAGAGAGAGAGAGAGAGAGAGAGAGAGAGAGAGAGAGAGAGAGAGAGAGAGAGAGAGAGAAGUCCUCUUCACCGCAUGUAGAGAAUUCGUUUUUCCACGGAUUAACAAGUUUUGUACGUACUCAUGCACGUUUUGUGUUUCGUUUUAUGUUUGAUACCAAGAAUGAGAACAUCUCUGGCUGAUUCUGAGUAAGCUAAGAUACGAGUUCAAGCAAUGGAGGUUAUGGAGGCAUCUCAAUCUUCAGAAAAUGUUCAAGCAAUAGAGGCAUCUCAAUCUUCAGAAAAUGAUCAUAAAAUGCCAUGGCCAGCAUAUGCAGAAGUAUUUCAGUUGCAACAAAAACUUGGAAACGAGAAAAACUGGGCAUUUUUGUGUAAAAUUUGCAUUGGAAGUAAAAUUAUUCAUGCUAGCAGAACUUCCACUUCAAAUUUAAGAAAACAUAUAAGUAUUUUCAAAUAUACAAAACAUUCAACCUUGAAGCAAAUAUAAUGUGCAUAAAGCAUAAAAUAGGCAAAACAUCCACACUUGUUGCAAAACAUAGAUAAGGCAAAACUGAAAUUAUCAAAUAAACAUUCAAGUGAGGAUCCUCCGAAUGUUCCAAAUAAAUGUCAAAGAUUGGAGAGAUGGGGCUCUGGGAGCUCAAUAGCUACUCAAAAAGCAGUAGAUAAAGCGAUACUGCGUUUUAUUAUUGAAGAUAUUCAACUUCUUUCUACUGUAGAUAGUCCAGCAUUCAUUAAUUUACUUAGAAUUGGACUUCCUUCACAUAUCCGUAUAAUGUGCAGAAAAACAUUAAGAAACAAAAUUUGUGAAACAUCAUAAAAUGAAGGCUGCUCUUGAAAAAAAAUUGACAGAAGUAGAAGUAGUUGCAACUACCGCAGAUUUGUGGAGCAAAACAAAAAGACUAGAGUUAUUUAAGCAUAACUAUUCAUUGGGUGAAUCCCGUAACUUUCGAGAGAGAAUCAGCUGCAUUGGCUUGCCGUAGGAUGAAAGGCAGACAUACAUACGAUGUUUUAGCUCGAGCAAUUAACUCAGUCUUUCUCGAGUAUCAUAUCCAAAAUAAAGUGUGUUAUGUAACUACCGAUAGUGGAUCCAACUUUGUUAAAGCUUUUCGGAAUUUUGUAAAAGACGAGGACAAAGAUGAAACAUCUACUGCUAUAGAAUUUCACGAUUUAAGUGAUCUUUUAAUUAAAGAUGAUAUAGAAGAUAUGGAUGCAGAAGAUUCGCUUAUUCUUCCAUCACAUCAUAGAUGUGUGAGUCACAGUUUAAAUCUUGUCGCUGUAAAAGAUUCCGAGAAAGCUCUAGACAAUGAUGUUUCAUAUAAAAAACUAUACAGAUUGACAUUUGCUAAAUUAACCAAAUUAUGGAGUAAACAAAAUCAAUCUACACAAAUAUCUGACAAAAUAAAAGAAAUUUUAGGUGUCUAUUUAAAAACUCCUGUUAUUACCAGAUGGAACUCUACUUUUGAUUCUGUAAUGCAACUAGCAACAUUUUUAAAAAAUGAUCCCGACCAAAUCAAUCAAUGCCUUGAUCAUUGUAAUUUGCAAAGAUUGACUGAAAAUGAAAUGAAAUUCAUACUCGUAGAAGAAUAUUGUCAGUAAUGAAACCUUUAGCACAAUCUUUAGAUAUAUUGCAAAGCGAGAAAGGGAUGUAUAUGGGAUACUUAUUACCGAUCUUAAAAACAUUAAAAGAAAAAUUAGAGAAACUUAAUAAAAAUGAAAUUACGCAUUGCCAAUCAUUAAUCGCAGCUCUUCAACAAGGUUUAAAUAAAAGAUUUUCCUCAUUGUUUGAAAAAAAAGAACUUAUUAUUGCAAGUUGUUUGCAUCCCAAAUUUAAAUUAAAUUGGAUACAUGGAGAAAAAAAAACUCGCUAAAACUUAUUUAGAAGACCUAUUAGGAAUUUGUUCCACUGAGAGUUCUCCAAACGAUGAAAAUCUCAACAACGAUGACUUUUUUGCUUUUGACCAGCAAACAAAAGAAGUCGAGUCUACACAAGAAGAACUGUACCGAUUCUUGAAAUCAAGUCAGCCUAAAAAUCUGGGACCACGAUAACGAUUUCAGUUUUCUUGUGAUCUCGUUUUGAUGCUUUAUAAAUCGACUUGCGGCAUUUCAAUAUCGGCAAAAUAUAAGAUUUUCACAUAAGAAGUAAAUAUUCUCGGAAUGAUGAAAAAAUUAAUUUGUGAGAAGAAAGAGAUCAUUAUAGCUUCAUUAUAUACUAUGUGUAUAUACAAUAUAAAUAGAAACUCUAUAAUGCUCUCGAAACGUUAAAGACUUUUAUAAUUUUAAUUCUUAUAAUA